rnacentral:rRNA from 1 species
GAUGAACGCUAGCUACAGGCUUAACACAUGCAAGUCGAGGGGCAGCAUUAAAGUUUGCUUGCAAACUUUAGAUGGCGACCGGCGCACGGGUGAGUAACACGUAUCCAACCUGCCGAUAACUCGGGGAUAGCCUUUCGAAAGAAAGAUUAAUACCCGAUGGUAUAUUUCACCGCAUGGUGAAACUAUUAAAGAAUUUCGGUUAUCGAUGGGGAUGCGUUCCAUUAGGCAGUUGGUGAGGUAACGGCUCACCAAACCUUCGAUGGAUAGGGGUUCUGAGAGGAAGGUCCCCCACAUUGGAACUGAGACACGGUCCAA